GCCGAAGUGGCGGAACUGGCAUACGCGCCGGUCUCAAAAACCGGUAGUCGCAAGGCUGUGUGGGUUCGACUCCCACCUUCGGCACCA
rnacentral:tRNA from 1 species